AGUCAAUGCUAGAAAUGGACGUUUAGUUAUUGAAUCCCGCUAACGAGGGGAGCCAACAAGAGAGGGAUGUCGGCAUCGGGUGUGCGGUUCCAAGAACUGAUUGGCUGUGGAGAUUAGAAGUUAGGAACCUUUGCAACGGAAAGCGGCCUCGGGCAGGCGCCUUUUGAGCAGAGGAGUAAAACCGGUAAGUCAGCAGUGGAACCCGCCUCCCCGGAAAUCCUUGGAGGGGGCGGGGCCCUGGGGAGCGCGCUCUUCCCAGCGGCAGCUGGGGAGGCGCAUGCGUACUUGCGUCAUCGUUGGGUAGCAGCGGGGAGGCGUGGGAGGAUCUGAGGCCUGCGGUGGGCCUUGGUCCCUUCUCUCCCCGCCCCGAAGCCGCCUGCUCAACCUGAGGGCCACCGGCCUCUAUCCGUCGGUGCCGAUGCUCCUUGCUUCCCAGCCAGAGCGUCUCAUCUCUGGGCCCGGAGCCCCAGGCUCGUUCUCCUCAGCCCCUGCCGGCGGCGGCGCUCUUGCAGCCAUUCCUGUGAGGUCGUUUUUCGGAGCAGCCGGGCCGGCCGAGGAGUAAGUAGGCGCCAGAGUUCUAGCUCGGGCAUCUGCCUCGGGGCCCUGUCGCCGCCGCGCCCCGGAUCCUGCGUUGGUCCUGUCCGAUAAAGCGGAGGUCGGCCCUGCUUGCUGACGAGACCGUAAAAACCACGGCGCUUGGCGCCCUGCCGCCGCCACACCACACCAAAGUGUACCUGCCCGAGGCUGGCUUCGGGCGCGAGCUUGCAUUUGUGACUUUCUCUUACCGUCUUUGUUUGCUUCGUUUUAAGUAUUACUUCCAGAUAAGGGACACAUUCUCGAAAUACUUUGAAAACAGUUUUGAAUUUUGUUCCUCCCGUUGAAACGGAUUAAAUUUGGACCUUUCAAGCUACACUGUGCAAUCAUCAAUCUCAAUAAGCUCUUAAUAGGCUCAUUCUUCCGUAGGCUACAAACAAAAUAAAGAUCAUAACAUCCUGCGGAGGAAGCCAUUGGUCCAUGUAGAGUCGCCAGAUGUCAAUUAAGAGUAGAUCGCUUUUCAGAGAAUACUUAACGACUCUGGUUUAGACCUAGACUUGGAACUUUGAGGUGUUUGGAACACUGGGCAGAAUUUUCCUUUGUUACAAAACAAAGUUUAUGAGAACGUAAUUUGUUUUUGUUGUUUUUGUUGUUAGUAUUGAAGCAAUUUUGGUGCAAACCAAAGGAUAACAAAGCAAAACAAUGAAAAUCACCCAGAGUUCCAUUACCCACACUGAACCAACUUGAAUAUAUUGGUUUAUUUUGGCUUUUUUCCAUAUGAAAUGUUAAAUUUUCUUGUACUCACGUGUAGAAUAUGAUAGUUUGCUCUUUCAUGUAACAUGUCUCCCAAUUUUUACAUACAUAAUUCUAGUUUCAGUAAGCAUUUUUAUAACUACACUCUUUUUCCUUUGUUAUUGUAUGUCUAGGUUAUUUCAACUUUGCACUGUUGCUUGUAACUACUAUGUGAUGAGGCAGUAGCUAGAUUAGUAUUUAGAACGUGAGCAUUCAAGUCAGGCAGACCUGGGCUUCACAACUUACUGUGCAAUUUCAAAGAGUUUAACUUUUUUGAGCCUCAUUUUACACAGUAACAUGGGGAUAAUGGUUCUGAUUGCAUAGAAUUAUUAUGAGAGUAAGAUGAAAUAAUGAGUGGAAGUGCCUGCAGCAUGUAUUGUUAGUAAAUGCUGUAUUACUGCAGGCAAAUUUUUCUUUUGUUGUGGUUUUUUGGUGACAUGUAUGAUUUAUUUCCAGAUUUUGAAUAUACUUAAAUACUAUUAACCACAGUAGGGGUAUGGGGUUUGAUCCACAGCUUUUCAUAUAUUUUAUACAAUAUAUUGUGUGUUUGAUACACAGCUUUUCAUAUACUUUAUUAUAAGUAACACAUGAAUUAGAAAUAAUUUUUCACAAUAGGAAAAACUUUUUAAAAAUUAAAAUUUAUAAUCCUGCUAACCGUAGGUGAAUAGUCACAUUUUGGGCAAUCCUUUUUUAUGCAUAUAUAUGUAGUGGUUUUAUUUUAUUUUAUUUUAUUUUUAUUUUUUGAAACGGAGUCUUGCUCUGUUGCUCAGGCUAGGGUGCAAUGGUGCGACCUCGGCUCACUGCAACCUCCGCCUCACGGGUUCAAGCAAUUCUCCUGCCUCAGCCUCCCGAGUAGCUGGGAUUACAGGCGCCCGCCGCUGCGCCCGGCUAAUUUUUAUAUUUUUAGUAGAGACGGGGUUUCACCAUCUUGGCCAGGCUGGUCUCGAACUCCUGACCUCGUGAUCCACUCGCCUCAGCCUCCCAAAGUGCUGGGAUUACAGGCAUGAGCCACCGUGCUGGGCCUGUAGUGUUUUCUAAAAAUAGAAUUAUAUUAUAAAUUGGGUUUAUCAACUUGCUGAAAAUGGCAGAGGCCAGUGCGAUGAGAGUAGGGUGAUUAAGGGAGUAGGAAGUAAUGCAGGAAAGGGAGUUUGUAGGAUUUAGAUUUCACUGAAAGUGUACUGGACAGGUUGGGCAUAGUGGCUCAGGCCUGUAAUUGUGUCACUUUGGGAGGCUGAAGUGGAAAGAUCCCUUAAGCCCAGGAGUUCGAGCCAGCCUGGGCAACAUAGGGAAACCCUAUCUCUAUAAAAUAAAAAUAAAAAUAAUUAUUUUGAAAAAAAAGUUUACUGGACAGAGUAAGUUCAGGGUUGAGGAGUGACCUGAUUUGUUUUAGAAGGCUCAUUUGGCUGCCAUAUGGAGAUAGACUGCAAGGGACCAGGGGAGGAAGAUGCAAUCCAAUUAGGAGAGUAUUUAAGUAAUCUCUGUGAGAGAUGGUGUUAGUUUCGAUCAGGGUGUAAGUAGGGAAAAAUGAUUGGGUUCUGGAUAUAUUUUGAAGGGAGAAGUUAUAGGAUUCACUGAUUGAUGGGAUGUGGAAUUCAAGAGAAAGUGACUUAAAGAAUUUUGGUUUGGGCAGUUAAACAGAUACAGUUGCUACUUACCAAGAUAGAGACUGAAAGUUGGGGGAAACUAAAUAGAGUUCUGUUUCAGUCAUGUUACCUGUUGUGGAGUCUAACUAGUUGGAACAGGAGUAUGAAAGACUUAAUCUUCUGUUCUUGAGGUAUCAAUUUGUCCCUUCAUUUCUGUCAGUUUUUGCUACAUAUAUUCUGUUACUAGGUGCAUCUAUCCUUGUAAAUUGUUACAUCUUCCUUGUGGGUUUAUCCUUUUAUCAUUAAAAAUGUUUCUCUUUUUCUCUAGUAACAUUGUUUUAAAGUCUAUUUUGUCUGAUAUUAAUGUAGCUAUUUCAGUUCUCACGUGAUUACUAUUUACAUGCUUUGUAUCAUUGACUCUAAAAUGUGUCUCCUGUAGACAUAUAGUUGGAUCUUGGUUUGUUUUUUGUUUGUUUGUUUGUUUUUUGUUUUGAGACAGAGUCUUGCCCUGCCUCCUUGGCUGGAGUACAAUGGCGUGAUCUGGGCUCACUGCAACCUCCACCUCCCGGGUUCAGACGAUUCUCCCACCUCAGCCUCCCCAGUAACUGGGAUUACAGGGGCCCGCCACCACGCCCAGCUAAUUUUUGUAUUUUUAGUAGAGACGGGGUUUCACCAUGUUGGCCAGGCUGGUCUCAAACUCCUGACCUUGUGAUCCACCUGCCUCGGCCUCCCAAAGUGCUGGGACUACAGGCAUGAGCCACUGUGCCUGGCCGGAUCUUGUUUUUUUUAAUCUGAUAAUUUCUGCCUUUUGAUCCAAUUGUUUAAUCAUUCACAUUUAAUGUUAUUGAUAUAGUUGGAUUUAUGUAUGCCAUCUUAUUUUUGUUUUCCUUAUGUCUUGUCUUUUUCUUUUCCUGUCUCUCCUUUACUGCUUUGUUUUGGAUCAAGUGAAUAUCUUCUAAUGUAGCAUUUUAAUUUCUUGAAUGAUUUUUUACACUGUUUUAAGUUUUUUUUAGAGACUGUAGUGGUGCUCUAGGGCUUACCGUACAAUUAGCUUAACUUAUUAGAAUCAGCUUCAGAUUUAUACUAACUCAAUUGCAGUGAGAUAUAGAAACCUUACUCCAAUAUAGUUUUAUUCCAUGUCCCUGUUUUUUUGUGGUUUUGUUGUUGUACAUGUUAUAGUUGUUACAAACUCAACAAUACAUUACUACAAUUAUUACUUUUACAUCAUUUAAAGAAAAUGAACAAAGGAAAGCAAAUAUAUAUUUGUAGCUUUUGUUAUAGUAACCUUAUUUAUCAUUUCAGGUUGUUUGUUUAUUUUUCUUGUGGAUUCAUUACCAUCUGGAGUAAUUUUGUUUUCUUUUUCUUUCUUUUUUUUUUUUUUGGAGGGAUAACAGGGUCUUGCUCUGUUGCCCAGGCUGCUGGAGUGCAGUGUCAUGAAUAUAUCUCACUGUAGCGUCAAACUCCUGGACUCAAAGUGAUCCUUCCACCUCAACCUCCUGAGUAGCUGGGACUACAGGCACAUGCCACCAGGCAUGGCUAAUAUUUGUAUUUUCUGCACCUCAGCCUUCUGAGUAACUAUAUUACUCUAUAAGCACACAUCACCACACCCAGCUAAUUUUUAAAUUUUUUAUAGAGACAGAGUCUCACUGUGUUGCUCAGGCUGGUCUCUAACUCCUGGCCUCAAGUGAUCCUCCAGCUCUGGCCUCCCAAAAGUGCUGGGAUUACAGGCAUGAGUUCUUUGUAUGAGUUCCUUGUAUAUUUUGGAUAUUAACCCCUUGUUAGAUAAAAGGUUUUUCAGUAUUUUCUCCCAUUCCGUGGACUGCCUUUUCAUUUUGUUGUUUCCUUUGCUGUGCAGAAGCUUUUUUGUUUGGUUUAGUUCCAUUUGCUUAUUUUUGCUUUUGUUGCCUGUGCUUUUGGUGUCAUUUACAAAACAAACAAACAAAAUUAUUGCCAAGACUAAUGUCAUGGAGCUUUUCCACUGUUUUCUUCUAGUUUUACAGUUUCAUGUCUUACACUUAAGUCUUUUCACUUUUUUUUUUUUUUGAGACAGAGUCUCCCUCUGUUGCCCAGGCUGGAGUGCAGUGGUGUAUGAUCUUGACUCACUGCAACCUCCACCUCCUGGGUUCAAGUGAUUCUCCUGCCUCAGCCUCCCGAGUAGGUGGGAUUAUAGGCAUGUGCCACUGUGCCCGGUUUAUUUUUGUAUUUUUAAUAGAAAUGGGGUUUCACCAGGCUGGUCUUGAACUCCUGACCUCAAGUGAUCCACCCGCCUCAGCCUCUCAAGGGACUAGGAUUACAGGCAAGAGCCACUGCGCCUGGCCUCUUUUAACCAUUUUGAAUUGACUUUUGUGGAUGGGGUAAGAUAAGGGUCCAAUUUCAUUUCUUGGCAUGUGGUUAUCUAGCUUUUUCAACACCAUUUAUUAAAGAGACUAUCCUUUCUUUAUUGUGUACUUUUGACACCUUUGUUGAUGAUUAGUUGGCCACAUAAACGAGGAUUUAUUUCUGGGAUUCCUAUUCUGUUCCAUUGGUCUAUAUGUCUCCUUUUAUGCCAGUACCAUACAGUUUUGAUUACUGUAGGUCUGUAAUAUAAUUUGAAAUGAAGUGUGAUGCCACCAGCUUUGUUCUUCUUGCUCAGGAUCAUUUUAGAUAUUCUGGGUCUUUUGGGUUCUGUAUGGAUGUUAGGAAUUUUUUUUUUUUUUCUGUGAAAAAUGUCAUUGGAGUUUUGCUAGAGAUUGCGUUGAAUCUGUAGACUACUUUGUGUAUUGCAGACAUUUUGACAAUAAUGAUUCUUCUGAUCCUGAACAUGGGAUAGCUUUCCAUUUAUUUGUGUCAUCUCCAGUUCUUUCAUAUAUGUAUUAUAGCUUUUAGCAUACACAUCUUUCCCCUCCUUGGUAAAACUUAUUCCUAAGUAUUUUAUUCCUUUUGAUGCUAUUGUAAAUGGGAUUGCUUUCUUAAUUUCUUUCUUGGAUACUUCACUGUUAGUGAAGUGUAAUUGAUUUUUGUAUGUUGAUUUUGUAUCCUGAAACUUUACUGGAUUCGUUUAUUCAUUCUAACAGUUUUUAGUGGCGUAUUUAGGGUUUUCUGUAUAUAGGAUGAUGUCACCUGCAGAGACAAUUUUACUUCUUCCUUUCUGAUUUGGAUGCCUUUUAUUUCUUUUCCUUGCCUAAUUUCUGUGGCUAGGAUUUCUAGUACUAUGUUGAAUGUAAGUGAUAAGUGUGGGCAUCCUUGUCUGUCCUUGUCACAUUCAGUUGUAUGUGCAAUACUGGAACCAUCCAGCUCAUAGUCACGUAAUUCCUCUUUGUGCAGCCUCAUGUAAAAUCACACCCCUAUUCACAUUUUUUUCUGUCUGUCUCCCACCUCUCCAGGUCCCUGCCCUGCAACUUUCAGUUACUUCAGACUCUCAGAAGACUAGCCUCUAAAUACCUCAAUUUAUCUGCACUACUGUGGUCUACUUGAAAUUCUCUUCCCUCUUCUGCAGUUUGUAAUGGCAUUCAGGCCAAAAACUGUAGUAGUUUUAGGGCUCUCUUCAUUUGCUUCUCUGCUCCUAGGGAUCAUAGUGCUGUGCUAUCUGUUGUCCAGCAUCUGACACAGUUGGUUUUAUAUUUUGUCUGGUUUUCUAGUUAUUAAGCAGGUUAAGUCUGGUUCCUGCUGUUCUAUAUAGCAGGAAGCAAAGGUUCUCUCAUGAAUUUUUAGCAUAAUAACAUAAGCGUGGAUUCCAAAAAUUCAUUACACAGAUCCUGGAAAUCUGUUUACUAUGUUUUAUACAUUCUGUGAAAGCUGGAGAAUAUAUAUUUGUUUUACUAUGUGUAUCGCAAAUAAAAUAUCAAUUUCAUGUGCCAGAGAAUUGAAUACAUUAUCAAAGGGUCAUUUCAUAACGUUAUAAUCACCAUCCAUCCUGUAAGUCCUUUGAAAUUUCUUCUUUUCUAUGGAUCUAACAUUGAUCAAUAACGAAUUCCUAAGCAUCUAUAUUAGUUAGCCCAGUGUUUCUCAAAGUCCACCGCAUGUAAAAAUCAUCUAGGGAAUCUUUCUAAAAUGUGGAUUCUGAUUUAGUAGGUCUGGGGUGAGGUCUUCCCUUUUGCAAUUCCAGCAAGUUCCCAUGGGAUGCUGGUACUGGUUAAUGGAAGUCACUUAGAGUAGCAAGGAGCCUGUUUGCCUAGUAUUUACAAUGAGCACGUUUUGGGUAUCAUCAAAACAAGAGAAUCUAAAAAUGUAUGGUGUGGGUGGAAGGUUGUGUUACUUGAUAUUUCAAAAAGAUCAUUGAAAUCAGAAAAUCUCAGAGAUAUGUUGGAUUUCAUCACAUUUAUUCUAUGGCUUAAUGUUGUUUUAUUUUGAAUAUAUAAUAAGAGAGAUACCACAAAUCUUUAGCUAUUAAUAUUUAGGGAUGUUAAUGUCCUUAAUUCAUAUUGUCUCAAAUGUGAUUCAUUCCCUCUAUAGGUAUACUAAAACAGGCAUUCAUGCCUACAAAACCAUCUUCCUAACUUUCUUUCCUCUUUUUAGUCUCUUCCUGAACCAGUGACAGUGGUUCUCAAACAUUUUGGUCUGAGGACCCCUUUAUGGCCUUAAAAAUGAUCGAAGAGCUUUUAUUUAUGAAGAGUCUCACUCUGUUGCCCAAACUGGAAUGCAGUGGCAUGAUCUCAGCUCACUGCAACCUCCGCCUGUUGGGCUCAGAGAUCUUCCCGCCCCAGCCUCCCGAGGAGCUGGAACUACAGCCUUGUGCCACCACACCCAGCAAAUUUUUGUAUUUUAUUGCAGAGAUGGCAUUUCACCAUGUUGCCCAGGCUGGUCUUGAACUACUGGACUUAAGCAAUCCGCCCACCUGGGCCUCCCAAAGUGCUGAGAUUACAGGCAUGAGCCACCGCGCCUGGCUGACAAAUACUUUUUAAAAAUAUCCAAGUUUCUGGAUUUUAUUCACCUCUACAAAAAUGAUUUAAGUCCUGUAGAAACAUGUGCCCACAAAUGACACAGUAAUCUCCAGCAAUGUGUUCAACAGCACGUUGAGCAUAAUUGAGCAUAACAGACAUUUUUAAAUUUGUUGUCUCAAAUUCCAUUUAGAUUUGGCUAUUGAUGCAAAAUUAGGGAGGUCAUUUUUCACUAGAUUACUUUCAAUGCUGGAAUCCAUACUUAAAAAAAAAAAAAGAAGAAACUAGAUUUAGUAUAUCUUUCUUUGCCACUUCAGGCUUCCAAAGGAGAAAAAUUCAUGGAUAAGUCAUUAACUGUUACAAAUGCAUUAUGUCUUCAGUUGUGAUGGUUAUGAUAAAACAUGUUUAUUUUAUAUUUGUAAUUUAGUAAAAUUAGUUGAUUCAAGGAGCUCUAUCAUAAAUGGGAAGUAAUAAAAUGAUAAUAAUUAAAGCAGGUUAUUUUUCUCUGGUCAUUUUUGCAUUCUUUGUAGCUCAUGAAGUAGAUUUGUUGCUUUCAUCUGUGUCUGCCAUGUAUGCUAGGCAGGAAAGAAAGGAAGUAAGAAAGAUAUAGCCAUGUGGGGAAAGGAGACAGAGGGAAGGAGGAGGAAAGAGAAGGAAGGAAAUAAAAUCAACUCUUCGUUUUCUGCACUUUCCCUGAGCAAGUUCUUUUUUAUUUGUGUGUACAAUGAAUCUGCGUUUCUCCCUGCCACGCCCCCUCCCAACCCCUUUGGCUAAUAGAAAGCUCUGAAAAAAAUUUUGAAACUUAUAUCCAAAUGCAGUGGAUAUAAAUAAAGUUAUUUCCCCUGGCUUUUCAAAAAUAUGAGUGAGUGUUGGAUAUUAGAAAGCUACCUUACUUCUUUAGAUCGAGACCAUCCUGGCUAAUACGGUGAAACCCCAUCUCUACUAAAAAUACAAAAAAUUAGCCGGGCGCGGUGUUGGGCGCCUGUAGUUCCAGCUACUCGGGAGGCUGAGGCAGGAGAAUGGCAUGAAUCCGGGAGGCGGAGCUUGCAGUGAGCAGAGAUCGUGCCACUGCACUCCAACCUGGGCAAAAGAGCGAGACUCCGUCUCAAAAAAAAAAAAAGACAGCUACCUUACUUAUUGGAAAGAGAUGAUCUGUGUGGUCAGUAUCAGUUUCUUCACAGGAAAAAAAAAGUAGAUUAGUAAUAGUGUUUACUAGGCACAGUGCUUUACAUUUCUUUACUUAGUUCUCAAAACAAUCCCAUUACAUAGGUAUUAUCCCAUUUAACAGUUGAGAAAUCUCAGUCACAGAGAGUUAAGUGACUCCCCAAAGUUCACAUGGCUAGUAAAUUAUGGAGCUCUGGAUUUCAUGCCCUGAACCAAUGUGCUAUUACAAGCCACAUACUAAGGUUAAUACACAAAAUACAUGUCAUAAGAUAGGCUCCAAAUUGUUUUAGAGCUUCCCAGCAGUCAAACAGAAAAAAGGAAGCAUGGUUAUUUUCAAGACUUAGGAUACAUAUGAUAAAAGCAAAGCAGUUACUCAGCGGAAGUGCACCUUCCUCAGAAGUUGGGCCUGGAAAAAAACUUCAGAUAUUUAUAAAAUUGAUGCCAUACAAUGUUGUGAACACUAUGUUUCAAAACUGCCCCCUAAAAUAGUAUGAAGCUUUUUUUUUCACAUGACAAAUAUAUGAGAAACCAUUAUUAUUAUUAUUAUUACUGUUUUGAGACAGUGUCUUGCUCUGUCAGCCAGGCUGGAGUGCAGUGGCUCACUGUAUCCUGAAACUGCUGGGCUCAAGGGAUCCUCCUGCCUCAGCCUCCCAACUAGCCAAGACUACAGGCACACACAACCAUGCCUGGCUAAUUUUUUUUUUAUUAUUUUUUGUAGAGACAAGGUCUUGCUAUGUUGCCCAGGCUGGUCUCAAACUCCUGGCCUUAGGCAAUCAAUCUUCCUACCUCGGUCCCCCAAAGUGUUGAGAUUACAGACAUGAGCCAUCACGCCCUGCUGAAACCAUUAUCUUAUGAUUUCUGAUAUGUGACUCUUUCAUUGUAUGGCAUGAUCCAAGGAUAGAUUAUACAUCGAUUCAGUGAACGCAUGGACUCUAUUCUUCUGAGCAAUCCUCCAUGAGUAUGUGUUUUGAGGCUAAUCUUUUGAUAAGGAUAGACUAGCAAAGAAUUUGAUUGAUUCCGUCAGGACUCUAGAGUAGAAAUAUCAUGUAUUGUCAGUUAAAGGCAGAUCUUUGAAUUUUAACAAAGCCAGCAGAAGGCAGGAUUCAUACACUUCCAGGUAUGUCUGAACAGAAGCCUGCCUGACCACAACACAGAUGUGAUCGUCUAAGAGUCUUUCUUGGUGUAAAAUCCCAUGAUUCUACAGGGUUUAUUCAGAUCCUAGUGUCUUAAUGAGUUGAUGUAAGAGUACAGUGCUAUAUUCUAUGAGGGUGUUAUUAUUUGUAAUGAAAAUAGGGAGAAUAAUUACACAUUCUUGCUUUCUUUGGAUCAGAGCUUCUUUACUGGUAAAUACUCCCCUUUUCAUAUUUUUGUACCAGUCAUCAUAAUUUCAAAAAUAGUAUAAUACUGUAUUCUAAGCAUAACAUUUUAACUUGUGUUUAUAUGUGAGAAGUUUAGAAAAUAUAAUAAGAAAAAAUAAAAAUCUCCCACAAUCCUACUGGAGGCUAUGAAUCUUCUCACUCCCAUCUUUUCCUGCACACAUGCCAACGAACUAAAAAGGAUCAGAAUAUGCACACUGUUAUGUAAUCUACCUCAUUCAUGUAAUAAUGUAUCAUGGAUGACUCGAUGCCAUUACAUAUUAAUAGACAUAGUGCCUGCAGAGUAUUAUGUGGACACACUCAGGGCUGAUGCUCUGCUAGUAUCUUCAAGGCUGCUGGAAUAGCCAUGCUGGUUGCUAAAAUAUGGAAAGACUUCCAUACUGGUUAGUAAAUGGUGCUGCCCUGAGCCCUCUGAAUGCCUUCCCACUGGACCUCCCCCCCAUCACACUCCCCAGCAACUAAAGGGUUAACGCCUGUCCCAUCUGGGGCCUCUAGGAUCCUGCUAUAGUAGUGUGGCCAGCCUGCUUUCUGAUUGAUCAGUGCCCAUACCAAUGGUUAAAAUUUUGGAUAUCAUUCUUAAAUGUAUCAUACCACAUUGUUGGUAAUAUUUCGUGUGCUUAUUAGAAAGUAUUUUUCUGUUAAAUAUAUAUAUGUGUGUAUAUUUUUAAGUCUUCCGACAGACUUCUUUGACAUGUUAUGUCUUCAGGAAGCCAUAGGCUCUCAUGGGAAAUUGGUGUCUGGAAUUAUCACUGCAUUAAUGUAAUAAUAUAUAUUUACUAGAACAGUGGUUUGACAUAUGAAAAUCUUAAUUUAUACACCAAGCAUACUUGAAUGUAGACUUUUCCUUCUCUAUAGACCAGAAACCAUGGCAUUUAUUUGGAAUUGCUUGAUGUCACUUUAAAUUGAGACAUUCAAUCCAUUCCUCUUUUGAAUAUGAAAAACUUUUUCCUUUAAGACAAUAGUAUUUUAGACUUCACCAUCCUCCCAUACUGUUCUUUUAUAUUUCUUCAUGUUCUUUCUUCACUAAUCCAUUUCUAACACACCCAUAUAAUUUUUCAGAUUUUUUUCAUAUUUCCAUUUUUAAUAUUCCACAUUAUAUGGGUAAUUUUUUAUAAUCUGGCUUUCUGCAUUUGACCUCAUACUAGUUACCAGCUUUUAUUUUUUUUAAAUAAACAGCUUUGUUGUAAGGUUCAUUAAAACAAAACAAAAUUUCUUUUUUUAAUUGAGUUAGGGUCUCUCUCUGUCCCCCAAGCUGGAGUGCAGUGGUGCGAUCUUGGCUAACUGCAACUUCCGCCUUACGAGUUCAAGCAGUUCUUUGCCUCAGCCUCCCAGGUAGCUGAAAUUACAGGCACACGCUACCAAGCCUGGCUGAUUUUUGUAUUUUUAGUAGAGAUGGGGUUUCGCCAUGUUGGCCAGGCUGGUCUUGAACUCCUGAGCACAAGUGAUCCACCCACUUGGGUCCCCCAAAGUGCUGGGAUUACAGUCGCGCAACACCACACCUGGCUAAUUUUUGUAUUUUUAGUAGAGAUGGGUUUUCGCCAUGUUGGCCAGGCUAGUCUUGAACUCCUGAGCUCAAGUGAUUCACCUGCCUUGGCCUCCCAAAUUGCUGGGAUCACAGGCGUGAGCCACCACACCCAGCGAAAAGAGCAAGUAAUUCUUGCAAAUUUUUUACCCAAACCUUUAGAAUGUGUUCUUUUUUUUUUCUUUUUUUUUUUUUUUUGGUUUUGGGUUUUUUUUUUUUUUUUUUUUUGAGCAUUUAUGAAAUGGCUGUGAACUUCUUCUAACUUCUAACUUUCCAAGUUGUCUCCUUUUGGCCCUAGGAGUAGAAUUUUUCUUUAAUUCUCAGCUGGUGAGAUCUGUUGCCACCACAGUUCAAAAUAACGAUUAAGUACUGAGGCCAGCCCAUGCCUGAUCCUUCAGUGAUGUUAGGAAGGUGAAUGCUUGGCUGUUUGAAAGCCUCCUUAUUGUCAUUUCCAAUCCAUUCUCUCUGCUUCUAUUCCUUUUCUCCCAAAACAUUUCAGUGUUGUCAGUUCAUACUCUGGAGUCUUUGGAAAAAGAGAUUGUUGUCUUUUUAUGAAUUUGUCCAAAUUUUAGUUGUUUCUGGUUAAGUUUAGACCAAGAGGGAUCCAUGUCCCUACAGGAUUACCCCUAUUUCAACCAGUAGAUGAGGAAUAUCCAGCUUUAAUUUGUCAGAGCAAAAAUCCAUUAAUGUUUUCUCAUUACUCAUAAAAAAAAAUCCAGCUCCUUACUGUGGCCUAUAAACCUCUCCAUGAUUGGCCCUCCUUAAUUUAUCUCUUUUAGUCUUGAAGUUUCAGGCACACCUCCUUUUCUUUUAUUGAAAUUCUCAAAGCCAGGUACAGUGGCUCACCUGAGUUUAUUCAAGGCUAAUCCGUAAUUAGGGAAAUAAAGGUUACAGCUGCCUGUUAGUGACUCAGGUCGUAUAAUCACAUUCCUUUAAGGCUCAAAAUAACGUUCCAAUAGCUUUGAUUUUGAAUUACUUAUUUUCACAAGUUCUAUAAAAUUACAGAGUUCUCAUCUAUUUUUGUUGGCAGCUGUUUGCCUAGCAGUUGAAAGUGCUUAGCACAUGAUAGUAUAUGAUAAACAUUUGUUUAAUUUAUUUCAAUAUUGUCAGUCCAUAUUCCAGCUUCUUUGGCAAAGGAGACUGUUGUUUUUAUAUGAAUUUAUCCAAAUUUUAGUUGUUUCCAGCUAAGUUUAGACCAAGAGCCCCCACAGAAUUACUUCCAUGUCAACUAGUAGAGGAAGAGCUUUAAUUUAGGAUUUAAAUGCCACACCACAAUUAUCUAAAGUGACUGAAUUGAGCUACUGAAUAAUAGUCCUUCUAAAGAAGAUUUUAGACACACAUUUCAUUUCUGUUAUUGCUGACAAGUGUUUUAUUUUACAGAAUAAAAGGCAUCUUGCCUGGGAUAAAAUUUCGAAAGGCUGUGUUUUUGUAGCACUUUCUUUUUUGGAAGGAUCUCUUUUUAGCUACUCUGUGUCAUGGUGAUGUUGAGUUCUCUGUUGGAAGCUAGAGUUCCUGGGUUUUUUGAUGUUUCUAGGCUUUUGGGUUUUGUUUAAGAUUUGUGUUUUGGGAAGGAACAUUUCCAUGGUUACGCCCAUUCCUUCUACCAUCCUUGAAAAAACGAGCCAGUAGAGUAAUCUGAUUCCUGGAUUACUACUACACAGAUGUCUUUUGUAUCUGCCUACACAUGAAACUGCUAGGCAAGUUCCAUUUCCAUGCAUUUACUUCCUUCAGUGCUUUUUAAAAAUGAAGCACUUUUAAGAUUAGGAAUGAAAGACUUGGAUUGGCAAGUUAAACAGGGAUUGGCCUACGUUAUGUUAAUAGUCUAAACUCAAUGUAGGAUUAAUUUAGAGGUACAGUAUAUGAAGGGAGAGACUGUUUUGGGAACAACUAAAUCGAAGCUUUGAGCAGAAUUUGCACACAUGUGAGUAAUACUAUAUGCAGAAAGACUGCUGUACUUAAAAAUAGUUUUCAGGUUUUUAAAUAUAAAGUUUCAUGUUGGAAUAGUAAAAUAAAACAUAUGAACUUUUACUGACAUGAAGCAGUAAAAUUAACUUUUCCUUGGAACAGCUUGCAUGCUCAUUGCUGCUCCACACAAACCUAGGUUAAAGAUGCCCAUGAUCUAGCAGUUUUCUUCUCUGAACAUUGCAGAGCAUUUGCACAGACAUGCUUGAAUUUACACUCAUGAGUCCAUUUCAAGUAAGAAGAGGGAGUAAGAGAGGGACCUCCUUCUCAGGGUUAAGGAAGGCCUAAAUUAUGAAAAAGUAGUGCAGCUUUUUUCUUAAGUUAAAGUAACGGUAAAUUUACACCACAUUUCUCUAUGAAUCCAGUAUAUGAAAAGUUUAAUUUGCGUGUUAACUAUUGCUGUGCAGACAGCUUGUCAAGUGAUGAUUUUGACAGCCUGGUGUCUGUCUCCAUUCUGCUGGAACAUCAGACGCCAUUUCUCUUCUUCCUGAGAAAACCACCUCUCAUACUUUGGUAUCCCUCUAAAGUGUUUCAAUUGUAAAUUACUACUAAUAUAUAAUUACUAUUCAUUUAUAGAAGCUUCUAGCUUAAACAUAAAAAUAUACUAAAAGUGAAACAACCGUAAUCUUAACCUCUAGACAUAGAUUAUUUUUCUAUGAACACAUUAACAUAUAUGUCAUAGUUACUAUUGUUUUUUACAAUAAAAGGCUCAUACUAUACAUACAUACAACUUGUUCUGGUAUAUAUUUUGAAUCUUCAUAAUAGCAUUUGUAGAUAUGCUUUAUUUUUUGUAGUUUUGUUUUUUUCUUUAGCCAUCCUUGCAAAUACUAUGUAUUUUGCUUCCUUAAAUCAGUAUUUCAGUAGGAAAAAUUCUUAGAAAUUAAACUGUGAGGGCAAGCAAUUGUGAACAUUUACAUUUUAAUAAGUACCAACAAAUUACCUUAAAACGUGUACCGAUGGAUACUCUUAGUAAAAUGUAAGAGAGUGAUUCACUACAUUCUUACUAGCUCAGGCAUUAUCAAUUUUUUUUUAUUUUAAAUUACUGCCUAAGAAAUACAGUCAUAUAUCUUGUUCUUUUAUUUUAAAUUUCUAUUUGAGAAGUUAUGCACUUUUGUUUGUUUGUUUUUUGAGACAGAGUCUUACUCUGUCAUCCAGGCUGGAGUGCAGUGGCACAAUCUCAGCUCACUGCAACCUCUACCUCUCAGGUUCAGGUGAUUCUCGUGCCUCAGCCUCCCGAGUAGCUGGGAUUACAGGCGCCUGCCACCACGCCUGGCUGAGUUUUGUAUUUUCAGUAGAGAUGGGGUUUCACCGUGUUGGACCAGCUGGUUUGGAAUUCCUGACCUCAGGUGAUCCCCCCACUCAGCCUCCCAAAGUGCUGGGAUUGCAGGCGUGAGCCACCAUGCCUAGCCAGUUACACACUUUUUAAUGUGAUUAUUAAUCACCAUUAUUUCUACUUAUUCAAGCUGACUGUUCACAUAUUUUACUCUUUUUAAAGCAUGCAUUUUAAAUAAAUUGAUAAUAAAUGUUUUUGUCAAAUAUUGCACGUCUUCUCCCCUACAUUUAUUGAAUGCUUACUGCAUGCUAGGCUCUGUGCUAAAUACUUUACAUACAUUAUUCCAUUUAAUCCUCACAUUAAUUUUGGGGAAUGUGUUAUUUUCAUGUUCACACAAGGAAAAUGGGUUCAGAGAGGUUAAGGAAUUUGCCCAAAUUUACAGUUAGUUUAUUUUUAUUUUUAUUUUGAGACAGGGUAUGUCUCUAUCACCCAGGCUGGAGUGCAGUGGCACGAUCCCAGCUCAGUGCAAACUCCGCCUCCUAGGUUCAAGCAAUUCUAGUGCCUCAGCCUCCUGAGUGGAUGGGACUGUAGGUGCCUGCCACCAUACCCAGCUAAUUUUUUGUAGAGGCAGGGUUUCACCAUGUUGCCCAGGCCUGGUCUUGAAUUCCUGAGCUCAAGUGAUCUGCCCGCCUCAGCCUCCCAAAGUGCUGGGAUUACAGCCACGAGCCACUGUGCCCGCUCCACAGUUUUAGAAGUGGCAUUCAAACAGAGCUCAAUCACAAUAAAAGGCACAUCACAAACUAUGAUAAUCCCCCACCUCUUGGAUUGUCUUUUAUCUCUUAACUUUGUGGAGGGUUUUUGCUUUGAUUUUGUUUGUUAUGUUAUAAUGAAGUUUUAAAUUGUUAAUCAUUCCAUAUGGUGUCUAGGUUUUCCGCCAUGAUUAUAAAGCCCUUCCCUAGCCCCAUGUGAUACAAUUUUCUUUCUUAUAAUACUUUUAUAUUUCAUUUCUUUUUAAGUCUUUGGUAUAUCUGACAGCAAUUUAUGUAUGAUUCAGAUGUAUAUUUUUUUCCCCAAAGGUCCCAACACCUUUACUGAAUAAUCUUUUUCCCAUAAUUUGAGAUGACACCUUUAUCAUACACUUAUAUGCCCUGUAUAUUUGAGUCUAUAUCUGGACUCCCUUCUGGUAUAAAGAAGUGCAGUUGACUUUUGUAUAACGACCUUAUACCUGUCCACCUUGUUAAACCCUCUUACUAUUUCUAAUAUCAUGUCUACAGAUUCUGAUUUUCUGUUAAAAUGGUUAAUAAUUCUGUCUCUCUCUCUUUUUUUUUUUUUUUGACAUGGAAUUUUGCUCUUAUUGCCCAGGCUGGAGUGCAGUGGUACAGUCUUGGCUCACUGCAACCUCUGCCUCCUGGGCUCAAGUGGUUCUCCUGCCUCAGCCUCCCAAGUAGCUGGGAUUACAGGCGCCUGCCACUACACCUGGCUAAUUUUUGUAUUUUUAGUAGAGAUGAGGUUUCACCAUGUUGGCCAGUCUGGUCUUGAACUCCUGACCUCAGGUGACCCGCCUGUCUCAGCCUCCCAAAGUGCUAGGAUCACAGGCGUGAGCCACCGCGCCUGGCCCUUAACAUGGUUAAUAAUUCUCUGAUAAAGAUUGUUCUAGUCUUUUUCAAUCCUUUCUCAUCCUUUUGAUUCAACUUAUUUUUCUUAUGUGCUAUUGAAGUCCUUCAAGUCUAUGUUGUUUUUUUUUAUUUCUAAAAAUAAAACCAAGAAUACCAGAAAACCCUAAGGCUGAAGUAACUGAAAACCAAACUCAAAAAUUGAUCUGUAGGGUUAUUCAGUUACUCUGUUGGUUAGUCACCAGGUCGUGUAAGUGCAAGUCCUAAUCAGGAAAAACCAAGACUUUGUGAAUUAGGAUGGGGACACUCCAGAGGAUUCGGAGACCUCCUUGACUCCAUGGAGUACUCUGAACUCAAUGCCUUGAGCCUCCUCUGCUUGUCAAAGCCUUUCCUUCCUCUUAAUCCUCCCGAGGGUGUUUUCCUCCUGACACCAAAUGUGUGAUGUCCGUUCUAACACCAGCCAUUUCUCCAGUUCUCUAGACAUCAACCGGAUGUCCAAUAAUUCAAUUAAAUUCUGAUACUGUCUGCCUGCGUUAGCAUCCACCCCUACAAGUUAAAGGCUCAGUCCCACAAUACUUCCCUACUUCAGAUGUCAGCUGUAAAUGGGGUGCCCAGGUGAUCCACAUUUCUGCCCAGGUGACUACAAAUUUGGGGGUUCCCAUGGCCCCUUCCCCUCAGUUUCUAUAAUUUGCUAGAAUGCCUCACAGAACUCAGCAAAGCCCUGAAGCACUGAUUAUUCUCAUUUUAUUAUAAAAGAUAACAGCUCAGGCCUGGCACGGUGGCUCACACCUAUAGUCUCAGUAACUUGGGAGGUUGAGGUGGGAGUAUUAGAGCAGGUAGUUAGACGUGAGCAGGGCAGAAGAGGGUCCUUCCACCACCAGGAAUGUUAGGCAACCAUCAGGUGAUGGUCAGGUGGUUGUUAACUGUCUCUUUAAAAUAAUAAUUGGUUGCAGCCAGUGCUAGGGAAAGGCAGUCUCCCAACAGAUAGAAAACACCUGAAACUGGUGACUAGCAGCUUCCCAAUAUGAUCUCAGGAGUUGGGUGAGUGGGCUCAAGCAUGUGCACUCAAAGGCAAAAUGGCAGAGUUUAACGGGUAUAUGACCUUCCUCUAGGAACAUUCAACUUGUAGGAAAGAACGCCUCAAUGUGCAUUUGUUCAACUUCAGUAAACACACUGUGCAUUGGCCCCCUCCUAAGUGCUGGCAGGCCACCGCACAUGCAGAAUACCAGCAUAUGAAACCCCAAGUCAGAGGUCAAACUGGGCACUUGAACUCCUCAAGACUCCUGCUUGGCUAUCUUCCAAGUGUACCUUACAUUCUUUGAUUCCUGCUUUAAAACUUUUUAAUAAACUUUCACGCCUGCUCUAAAACUUACCUCCAUCUCUCUCUCUGCCUUAUGCCCUUCAGUCGAACGAAUUCUUUCUCCUAAGGAGGCAAGAAUUGAGGUUGCUGCAGACUCGUGGAUUUGCCACUGCUAACAGGAGGAUUACUUGAGCCCAGGAGUUUGCGUCUCCAGUGAGCUAUGAUGUUAUCACUGCACUCCAGCCUGGGCAACAGAGUAGGACCCUGUCUCAAAAAAAAAAAAAAAAAAAAAAAAAAAAAGAUACUGCUGAGGAACUGCCAAAUGGAAAAAAUGCAGAAGAGAAGAUAUAGGGAGAGGGGCAGAGAGCUUUUACGCCCUCUGUGGGUGCACCAGCCCUCAGUACCUCCAAGUUUUCAACCCGGAAGCUCUCCAAACCCUGUUCUUUAGGAGUUUUUAUGGAGGAUUUGUUGUGUGGACUUGGAUCGAUUAAGUUAUUGGCCAUUGGUGAUUAACUCAACUUUCCGUCCCAAGAGAUUGGGAGUGGGGCUAGAAGUUCCAGCCUCUAAAGAUGCCUAGGUCUUUUAUCAAUCCACCCUCAUCCUGAGGCCAUCCAGGCAACCCCAGGCACCAGUCAGCUCAUUAUCAUACAGAAGAUAAUCUUAUCACACGGGAGAUUCCAAGGGUUUUAGAAGCCAUGUACCUGGAACUGGCACAAAGACCAAAUAUGUUUUCUUGUGCUUUACCUCUCUUUUAAAAACAUGUAACUCCUUGUUAUGGGUUGAAUUGUGUCCCCUGCUUCACGAAUUUCAUAUGUUGGAGUCUUGACCCCCAGCACCUCAGAAUUGUUGAUGAAAAGAGUCAAACUCUGUAAAAUAUUUGAAGAGAUUUAUUCUGAGCCAAAUAUGAGUGACCAAUGCCCAUGACACAGCCCUCACGAGAUCCUGAGAACAUGUGCCCAGGGUGGUUGGGGAAUAGCCUAGUUUUAUACAUUUUAGGGAGACAUGAGACAUCAAUCAAAUACAUGUAAGAUAUACAUUGAUUUGGUCUGGAAAGGUGUCACAACUCAAAGAUGGAGGGUGAGGGGCAGUUCCAGGUCAUAGGUAGAUUUUAAAAUUUUCUGAUAGGCAAUUGGUUAAAAGAGUUAUCAAUAGAAUGUCUGGGUUUCGAUAGGGGUUGUGGAGACCAACUUUUAAAUUAUGCAAAUGAAGCCUCCAGAUAGCAUGCCUCAGAGAGAAUAGACUAAAUGUUUCUUAUUAGACAUAAGUUCUGUGUUGAUGUUAAAUGCUGGUUGGCUCUUUCUGAAUUCCAUAAGUGGGGAUGGUAUAACGAGCCAUGUCUGACCCCCCCAUUUCCAUCAUGGCCUGAACCAGUUUUUCCGGUUAACUUUGGAAUGCUCUGGCAGAGAGGAGGAGUCCAUUCAGAUGGCUGACGGAUCUUAAGAUUUUAUUUUUGGUUUACAGAAUAUAGCCUUAUUUAGGGAUAAGGUCUGUAAAGAGGGAAUCAAGUUAAAAUGAGUUCAUUAUGUAACUGAGUACUCUCAUUUUUCAGUUUAUUUUUUAAUUAUUUUCUCCUCUCCCCUUUCCCCCGGCUUAUGCCCCCAAAGCAUGCCUGCCUCAGAACCUUCACCCUCUAGGAGGGGUUGCCUUGGAACUCCCACCCACCAGGAGGGCAUGUCAAAAGCACGCCCACUUGGCCACUUUUAUAACUUCUGCCCAGGAAGGCACCAACUCAGCUACCCAGUAGUUAAGGCACUGGGCCAGCAGGGGGACCCCUCGCCCUUGCUCACUCCUUCCCCGGCCUUGGAUAAGUGCCUACUUUCUGCUCUGGGAGCAAAACGUCACAUGUAAAGGCAGGACUAACGUUCACGACUCUUCCCCAAGCUAGCUUCGGAAGAAACCGCUUUCUUUAUGCCAGACCUCGCUCUUGUUAAUUGGACUACGCAGGCAGCAAGCAACUAACCCUCUGUUUGGUGACGGUUAUGGAUGGGCGCCCUAAUCCGCUACCUGAAAAGAUCCCCUUUCCUGCUCUGGGAGGCUGUUCCAUCUUCAGCAUCAGCACUUUAUCACAGAAGGCCUAAGCAGGGGAGAAUGUUGCCACAGAAGCCAAAGAGGGAAAGUCUUAGUGAAGAGUCAAGAAAGAAAAGUCUUGGAGAAAUACUUUUCGGUAUGGCAGUGAGGAGUGUGGUGGCCUUCUUGAGAGCACUCUCACUGCCUUGGUGAUAGGGGUCAUUUUGCAGCAUGUUGGCUGCAGAGAAGGCAACCUAAAGAAGGCAUUCAUGAAAUGCAGCCUGCUUCUUGAACGAAUCUGGAUGAAAGGCAGGAGAAUGCAUGGCAGCUGGAGGAAAGCCAGGAUGCAGGAGGGCAUUCCUUAGGGCAGUAAAGUGGACGUACAUGCGGGGUUAGAGAGCAACCCAGAAGCAGGAAGCAUGAGCCAGAGUCCAGGGUGCUUUGGAAAGAUUUAGAUAGGGGGUAGGGCCCAUCCUUCUCUGUCAUAGGAAGCAGGAUGUAAAUGGAGUUUCUCUGGUUGGCUGGAGGUUGAGGAAGUUUGCUUCCUAUGGCUUCUAUUCUCAUCUACUGAAAUGUGAGAAGAGGCAGUGGGAAUGGAAAAGCUACCAUGGGAGUGAGAGGAGAAACUCAAGAUAAAUGAAGGAAUUUCUGCAAGCAGUGUGGAAAGCUGAACUGAGGCUGGAGCCAUGCAUUUGGGGUGACAUCAGAUCUUCAGCGGAGUGCUUUUUUUUUUUCCAGCUUCACUUAAUAAUGUGAAUAAAGAUGAUUUUGGUAUAGGAAUUUGCAGGAUGGCUAAUAGUGGAAAACAAAGGAAAAUGGGGUAAUAAUAGAGCCUGCCAUUUCAGAGAGUGAUCAAAGUGACUCACAGUGAGAUCUAGACUAGAGAGGGCAGAAAUGAAAGGACCAAAGAGGAGAAGAUGAUCUCAGUGGAGAUAAAAGGUAGAUGGACGAGGAAAACUAGAGAGCUAGAAGGUUGUGAUUGGAGAUCAGGAUGAUGACAUUUAAGAGCCAGAGGUGAAGUUUAAAAAUAGGGAUUGUGAGCUGUCCAUGUUGGCACAUGCCUAUAGUCCCAGCUACUAUGGAGGCUGGGCGGGGAGGAUCACUUGAGCCCAGGUGUUUGAGGGUACAGUGAGCCAUGCUCAUGCCACUGCCCUCCAGCUUGGGCGAUAGAGCAAGACCCCAACUCUAAAAAAAAAAAAAAAGAAGGAAAAAUAGGGAUUGUGCAAUAGAAUCAAACACAGAGGUCACUGGAUAAUAACAAACAGUAGUUUAUGAGUAGUUUUUGUGUAGCUUUGUUUUUUUGAUUUUUGUUUUUUUGUUUUUUGUUUGUUUGUUUUUUGAGACAGAGUCUCACUCUGUCACCAGGCUGGAGUGCAGUGGCACAAUCUUGGCUCACUGCAACCUCUGCCUCCCGGGUUCAAGUGAUUCUCCUGCCUCAGCCUCCCGAGUAGCUGGGACUACAGGCAUGUGCCACCACGCCCAGCUAAUUUUUAUAUUUUUAGUAGAGAUGGGGUUUCACCAUGUUGGCCAGGAUGGUCUCGAUCUCUUGACCUCGUGAUCCGCCCACCUUGGCCUCCCGAAGUGCUAGGAUUACAGGUGUGAGCCACUGCGCCCAGCCUUUGUGUAGCUUUUUGAGCAGCAACACAAUAGUGGAUAGAGCUGUAAAGAACACAAGGAGAGGAAGGGAAAAUUCAAACAGCUGCGGCUUGUUGGUCUUUUAAUGCCUGGUUCUUGAUUUUGAAUCCACUGCUGUCUUUACAGGAGGGCACUAAUUUCCAGCGAAGAAGUGUAAGUUGCUUUGAUCGUAUCUCAUUCUUACAAAAUGUAGACUCACCAAUGGCUGUUGUUUUUUUCAGUGGGCCUAAUGCAUAUAGCUUCCAGAUGUAAAGGUAAAGUACUCCAGUGGAUGAUUCAUUUUAAAUUAGAAAUUAGCUUAAAGGCUAAUAAAAGUUGAAAAUAAAAUUUAUCUCAAACCUAGUUAGGUGUUUUUUCUUUUUGGCAAGAGAAAAUGGAUAUGAGGAAAGUAUUCUUCCUGUAGUGGGAGAUCAGGGGCAAUAUGGUGAUACCAUAGCCAUGGCACAGAUAAAGUGGGAUCUAAUAAUUUAGUUAAUUUUAUCUGUUUAUUUGACUGUAGGUACUUGAGCAUAUAGUUGUUUUGUUGUUGUUGUUGUCAUUUUUUUAAGAAAAAGCAUCGGUGUUCUUUUGUUUUGUUUUGUUUUGUUUUUUUGAGAGAGAGAGGUCUCGCUGUGUUGCCCAGGUUGGUCUUGUACUCCUGGCUUCAAGUGGUUCUCCCACCUUGGUCUCCCAAAGUGUUGGAGUUACAGGUGUGAGCCACUGCACCCAGUCAAGUUUUCCUUCUUAAGUGAUAAGAGUGAUACUUAGAAAGAUACUCACUUGGAAGAAGAGAAAUUAAAAAUUUUAGCACUUUUUGGCCACCUAAAAUAAUUGCAUGGAAGAGUGACCAAGAAAAACGCUGAAAAAAACUUUUCUUUGGGAAAAUAUAUAUUCCUUAUAUUCCUUAAAGCAAAAAUGAAUAGAGAAAAAUUGGCACCCCUGUUGUGUUAGAAACUAUUUGAAAAAUGAUGAAUUGUAAAUAUUGUCAAUUUCAAUACUCUGGUUUUGAUUUAAAGUUUGAAAUCGAGAUUUUGUGAUGGAAUGAUUUCUUCUGUUUGUAUGGUAGUUAAAGCUUGCUUAUUACCACCAUACUAGAAACUUGGCCGUAAACAGGAAUCUAUGUGCCUGGGCAGAAACUACCCCAUAAACACGUUGUUAUUUUAAAAUCUUAAAGGAGAGAGGAUAUCAAAGUAUAUUCUUUAUCAUUUUCUCUUAGAAAAUCUGACAUUGUGUUUUUGGACUAGUAAGUAGAAUAGAUAUUUAGCAGGAAAUUUAUAUGUAGGCCUUUGGGCUUCAAAAAUACUUAUCCCUGUGAUCCUUUGGGCGUAUCUAUGAUGUCAUGAUGUUGACGGUGUCAGCAUAGUUUAUUUUGUCACAUUUGUGCUUUCAUGAACAUAAAACCUUUAAUUCGUUUUCUUUAAAAGGUACAGCAGCACCAUCUUAGUUAAGCAGAACAAGUUUCACUUCAUGUGACUCAAUCAAUGAAGGAAAAUACAACUUUUGAUAAAGACACCAGUGAGCAUUUUAUUGAUUAAUGGGAUGCGUUAUUUAGCUUUAUGCUUGCAGACAGGCUCAAGAUUAGAUCUUAGUACAUUGGGAAAAACUUCAGUUAUACAACAUGUCCUAACUUUUGUUGUGUUGACAUUCAAGCUAGAGUUUAAUACUCCUCUGAUGAAGGUAUUAAAUAAUGUAGGUUUCUAAGCUGUAUGCAACUAAAGCAUAUUUGCUUCAUGACCAACAUCUAUAUGCUGUGAUGUUAUCCAGUGAGUGAAACACAGGUCAACUCUACACGAAGCCUUUUUUUGUAUUCCUAUUUUGUCUUCUCCAUCUCUCCUUUCUUAUUAUAGCAUAUUUUUUUCACUCUAAGGAAAGAACAUUUAUGCAGGGCUUGCUUACCCCAACAAAGCAUAGCACAGGCAGGGCUGACACAAAAUCAACGGGAGAAGUUUGAAAAAAGAGAACUGCUG
rnacentral:lncRNA from 1 species